ACACAAAUCACAUGGAGAACUUGUUAAAAUGCAGAUUCUCAGUAAGUUGGAGUGGGCCUUGAGGUUCUGCAUUUCUAACAGGUUCCCAGGUGAUGCUGCU
rnacentral:pre_miRNA from 1 species